GCGAAAAGAAUCAAAACUUUGUGUAUUAUAAAACGGGAGUAGAAACCUGAAAUAAAUGUACAAGACUCUCAAAGUACACCUUUACUAAUCAAAACAAGGACAUUUGUUACAAGCAUUGACAAUGAGAAUCAAACCCAAAAUAAGACAUAGCACAAGUUCUCUUGAAUGGCCGUUUUACAAAUCACAGAUCAUUGAAACGGCAACAUUCUGGGGUUGUUUUAAGUAACUUGACUGGACUUUAAUUACGCAUAAGAAGUCAUGCUACAGGACAAAAGAGGACCACAUCUGACACAAGUAUAGACAGUCGCAAAGUUAGCCUAAGAAUCAGUAAGAAGCUGAGAGAGAGAGAGUCCAUACCCAUACGUCAAUCAUUCAUUCAGGCGAUAGAUUGAUGAUAUGAAAUUAUGAAAAAUGAAGUGAGGAAGACUAUAUAAGAAUCUCCUUAGUCCUAAACGACAGCGUU
rnacentral:lncRNA from 1 species